UACGUAGGGGGCGAGCGUUGUCCGGAUUUAUUGGGCGUAAAGAGCUCGUAGGCGGUUUGGUAAGUUGGAUGUGAAAUCUCCAGGCUCAACUUGGAGGGGUCAUUCGAUACUGCCAUGACUAGAGUUCGGUAGGGGAGUGUGGAAUUCCUGGUGGAGUGGUGAAAUGCGCAGAUAUCAGGAGGAACACCCGUAGCGAAGGCGGCACUCUGGGCCGGAACUGACGCUGAGGAGCGAAAGCGUGGGGAGCGAACAGG
rnacentral:rRNA from 1 species